rfam:Trichobilharzia regenti genome assembly, scaffold: TRE_scaffold0000679
GUUCUCUUGAAGAGUCCCAAACUAGGACGAAACAGCUGUCCAGUAC